UACCAGCACCCCGAGUGGUCGGGACGAUUAUUGGGCCUAAAGCAUCCGUAGCGGGUCAGGAAGGUCUUCCGUUAAAUCCACCUGCUUAACAGAUGGGCUGCGGAGGAUACUACAAGGCUAGGAGGCGGAAGAGGCAAGCGGUACUCAGUGGGUAGGGGUAAAAUCCUCUGAUCCAUUGAAGACCACCAGUGGCGAAGGCGGCUUGCCAAUACGCGCUCGACGGUGAGGGAUGAAAGCUGGGGGAGCAAACCGG
rnacentral:rRNA from 1 species